rnacentral:lncRNA from 1 species
CUUAAAUUAGAGGUGAGUGCUCUGCCAUACAUUCAGAGUGUCCCUGCCCCACACAGAAGGCCUUGAGGUGAUUAAAGUGACUUCUUAGUCUUGCCAGUCAUAUAUUAACACCUUAAGAUCUAGAACAUGGGAAUGGUAGUACUUAUUCCCUAAGGUUGUAGCAUACGUGUUUUUACAAUACUUAAGACGAGUUUCCUGUGUACUUCUCAACAUUUUUUUU